UUCCCUGUGACACCAGGAGGCUGCUCUAGGCUGGAGGGGGACCUGUUUAAUAGGUCCAUGAGGGGAACGAUAUUCCCUGUGACAACGGGAGGCGGGUCUAGGUAGCACGGCCACGGUGACUUGUGACUUCAAUUCAUUAGAAAACUGUUCAUUUUUCACAUACCAACAUGAGCGGCUUCAAGCAUCCCAACGCUACCACCACCCCGCAUGUUGUGAAGGAAGAGGCCAUGGCCGAAGGGAAAUGGGUCAAACUUGACAAGACCACAUACAUGGACCCCGCUGGAAACACAAGAACCUGGGAAAGUGUCAAAAGGACAACCAGACCACUCAACACUGAGGCGGAUGGCGUUGGGAUAAUUGCAAUUCUGAAAAGGACCCUCCACAAAGACUGCCUUGUCAUGGUAAAGCAGUUUCGCCCACCACUGGGAUGCUGUUCCCUGGAAUUCCCCGCAGGGCUGAUCGACCAGGGGGAGGGGGCGAAGGAGGCGGCGGUGCGGGAGCUGAAGGAGGAGACGGGUUACAUGGGGGAGGUGGUGGGAGUCACACCAGUGACCUGUCUGGAUCCCGGCUUGUCCAACUGCACCACCAACAUCGUCACGGUGAUAAUCAACGGAGACGACGGCGAGAACAUCCACCCCAAACAGCAGCUGGGUGAUGGAGGUAAUGAAAUAAAACGCAUUCAGUUUGAAAAUGAUUGCCUUAAUAAUGAAAUUUGCAUGGCAACUUUUUUUAUACCGUGUUAAAUCAUCACAGAAAACGUCUUUCCCUCCAGAAUUCGUCGAAGUCAUCCUCGUGCCUCUGGCUGAGUUCCAGACCAAAAUAGAUGAGAUGCUGAAGAAGGAGAAGAUCGUGGUGGAUACUAAGGUUUACCUCUACGCCAUGGGGAUGGUGCAGGCCUUCUUCAAGCCCAACGAGCUGCCGGUACUCAAGCAGAGACGAGGCUAUAGGAAGAACGAGAGAGAGAUUGUUGCAGCCUUUCGUGGAUACGCAAUCUAUGGAUCACUCGGUCAACAUGGAGCACUAGUCGAUUAGGUAACUCGUUUGAAGUGCUCAGGUUGUAGGUUUUUAAAACUGUUAGAUUGUUCAUCGGUUGUGGUUGAUAUAGUCUCUAAUAUUAAAGUAUUGCUGUGCACCUUAUGUCAUUAAUAAUGUCCCCUGCCGUUUUUAGAACCCGAACUGCUACCCACCCUUUACAUAUAUGUUGUAACAACUGUAUAAUUACAUACGGAAAUGACUCUUCCAACAUUCCUAACUUUCUAAUGUUUUGCCAUUUAAGCUAUUCUUUAAUUCGCUGUAAGUUUGCUAUAUGGAAAUAACAGUGUGUGCCUUAAUUGAUGUGGUUUUGUAGCCCAAUCCAAUUUUGCACUUGGAGAAUUUUAAAUGUAGGAAAUAUGGUGUUAUAUUGAUAAAAUUGAUAUACCUGAAUUGCAUUGAAAUAAAAACAUACUACCAACUGCUCAA